rfam:Triticum aestivum genome assembly, contig: Triticum_aestivum_CS42_TGACv1_scaffold_148191_2BS
CUGGUACUCCCUCAGUUCAAAAAUACUUGUCAUCAAAAUGGAUAAAAGAGGAUGUACCUAGACGUGUUUUAGUUCUAGAUACAUCUCUUUUUAUCCAUUUUGAUGACAAGUAUUUCCGGACGGAGAGAGUAGUAU